ensembl:lncRNA
UUUUGUGUUAAGUGAGGGAUAUUUGCAAAGAAAAGGCAUGAUUUUCGGGUUAAAUGGGGGAUUUUUCAAGAGAAAAUGUGUGAUUUUCAGUUAAAUCGCGGCAUCUCUAAGAGAAAAUGCCUGAUGUUUGCAUUAAAUGUGUGAUUUUCAGGUUACAUGGGAGAUUUUUGAAGAGAAAAUGCAUGAUUUUCGGGAUAAAUGAGGGAUUCUUGAAGAGAAAAUGCGUGAUUUUCGGGUUAAAUGGGGGAUUCUGGAAGAGAAAUGGCAUUUUCUUCUGGUUAAAUGGGGGAUUUUCGAAGAGAAAAUGCACGAUUUUCGUUUACAGGUGAGAUUUUUGUUGAGGAAAUGCGUGAUUUUUUGGAUACAUGGGGGAUUCCUGUAGCAAAACUGUUUGAUUUUGGGGUCCAAUGGGGGAUUUUUGAAGAGCAAAAGUGUGAUUUUCGAGUUAAAUGGGGGAUUUUCCAAGAGAAAAUGUGUGAUUUUGGGGAUGAUGGGGUAUUUUUGAAGAGAUAAAGCAUGAUUUGGGGGUAAAUGCGGGAUUUUCCAAGAGAAAAGGCGAGAUUUUGGGGUUAAAAGGGGGAUUGUGUAAGGGAAAAUGCAUGAUUUUGGGGUUUAGGGGGGGAUUUCUGAGUAGAAAAUGGGUGAUUUUCGGGUUUAAGCUGCCAUUUUUGUAGAGAAUAUGCAUGAUUUUAAGUUUAAAUCAGGGAUUCUUGAAGAGAAAAUGUGUGAUUUUUGUUUAAAUGGGGUAUUUUGGAAGGGAAAAUGCGUGAUUUUCGGGUUAAAUGGGGGAUUCUGGAAGAGAAAAUGCACGAUUUUCGUUUACAG